UACGUAGGGUGCAAGUGUUAAUCGGAAUUACUGGGCGUAAAGCGUGCGCAGGCGGUGAUGUAAGACAGUUGUGAAAUCCCCGGGCUCAACCUGGGAACUGCAUCUGUGACUGCAUCGCUGGAGUACGGUAGAGGGGGAUGGAAUUCCGCGUGUAGCAGUGAAAUGCGUAGAUAUGCGGAGGAACACCGAUGGCGAAGGCAAUCCCCUGGACCUGUACUGACGCUCAUGCACGAAAGCGUGGGGAGCAAACAGG
rnacentral:rRNA from 1 species